rnacentral:rRNA from 1 species
GUGACCUCAAAUCAGGUAGGACUACCCGCUGAACUUAAGCAUAUCAAUAAGCGGAGGAAAAGAAACUAACAAGGAUUCCCCUAGUAACUGCGAGUGAAGUGGGAAAAGCUCAAAUUUAAAAUCUGGCAGUCUCUGGCUGUCCGAGUUGUAAUCUAGAGAAGUGUUAUCCGCGCUGGACCGUGUACAAGUCUCCUGGAAUGGAGCGUCAUAGAGGGUGAGAAUCCCGUCUUUGACACGGACUGCCAGGGCUUUGUGAUGCGCUCUCAAAGAGUCGAGUUGUUUGGGAAUGCAGCUCAAAAUGGGUGGUAAAUUCCAUCUAAAGCUAAAUAUUGGCGAGAGACCGAUAGCGAACAAGUACCGUGAGGGAAAGAUGAAAAGAACUUUGGAAAGAGAGUUAAACAGUACGUGAAAUUGCUGAAAGGGAAACGCUUGAAGUCAGUCGCGUUGGUCAGGGAUCAACCUUGCUUUUGCUAGGUGUACUUUCUGGUUGACGGGUCAGCAUCAAUUUUGAUCAUUGGAAAAAGAUUAGGGGAAUGUGGCAUCCUUGGAUGUGUUAUAGCCCUUGGUUGUAUACAAUGGUUGGGAUUGAGGAGCUCAGCACGCCGCAAGGCCGGGUUUAC